rnacentral:lncRNA from 1 species
UUGAGGAAUUUUGGAGGAAUUUGUGGGAAUUGACCCUGGCAAAUAUUUUUUGACCUGAUGAUCUUUUCCAUUAUUAUUCAUCAAUUCUUAACUAAUUAAUUAUUAAUCCAUUAUUAAUAAUUAUUAAUGAAGCUUUAAUUCCUUUUUAUUUUCUCUCAAGGAAGCGAUUUUCACUGCCCUCAUCAAGGAUUCCAAUCCCAAGCUGGAUUCCUCCUCUCUCCGUGCUCACCUGGUGCUCCUGGGGAAUCUCCCAGCCGAUGGAUUCCGGGAGCUGGAGGUUGUUUGCGCGGGGCUGCGUUUUGGAAAGGUGGAGCACUACGCCGUGCUCAGCAACCGGCACCGGGCCAUCCUGCAGCUGGACA